rnacentral:rRNA from 1 species
ACAUGAAGCUGGAAUCGCUAGUAAUCGCGGAUCAGAAUGCCGCGGUGAAUACUUCCCGGGUCUUGUACACACCGCCCGUCACACCAUGGGAGUCGGAAAUGCCCGAAGUCUGUGACCCAACCUUAGGGAGGGAGCAGCCGAAGGCAGGUCGGAUGACUGGGGUGAAGUCGUAACAAGGUACC